AGGAGAGUUUGAUCCUGGCUCAGGAUGAACGCUAGCUACAGGCUUAACACAUGCAAGUCGAGGGGCAUCGCGUUGCAGCAAUGCAAUGGCGGCGACCGGCGCACGGGUGAGUAACGCGUAUCCGACCUGGCCCUUACCCCGGGAUAGCCCCCCGAAAGGGGGAUUAAUACGGGAUGUGCUGAGAGCGUCACAUGGUACUUUCAGUAAAGGAGCGAUCCGGUAAGGGAUGGGGAUGCGUCCCAUUAGGAAGUUGGCGGGGCAACGGCCCACCAAUCCGUCGAUGGGUAGGGGUACUGAGAGGUAGGUCCCCCACACUGGAACUGAGACACGGUCCAGACUCCUACGGGAGGCAGCAGUGAGGAAUAUUGGUCAAUGGGCGGAAGCCUGAACCAGCCAAGUAGCGUGGAGGAAGAAUGCCCUACGGGUUGUAAACUCCUUUUGCGGGAGGGUAACGUGCGGCACGCGUGCUGCAGUGCAAGUAUCCCGCGAAUAAGCAUCGGCUAACUCCGUGCCAGCAGCCGCGGUAAUACGGAGGAUGCGAGCGUUAUCCGGAUUUAUUGGGUUUAAAGGGAGCGUAGGCGGGCUGUGUAAGUCAGCGGUCAAAUCGUGCGGCUCAACCGUGCGUCGCCGUUGAUACUGCCGGUCUUGAGUGCACAAGAGGUGGACGGAAUUCAUGGUGUAGCGGUGAAAUGCUUAGAUAUCAUGAAGAACUCCGAUUGCGAAGGCAGUCCACUGGGGUGCUACUGACGCUGAAGCUCGAAGGUGCGGGUAUCAAACAGGAUUAGAUACCCUGGUAGUCCCCU
rnacentral:rRNA from 1 species